rnacentral:lncRNA from 1 species
CCCUGUAUUAAUAUAUCCACUAAUUAUUUUGGCUACUAUAAUACUAUCGAAUUUUUUAUCGUUAGAUAUAUUUUUUGAUUAUUUUCAUUCAUUAAAUUAUAUUAUUCAACCAAUCAUAACCGUAAAAGAUCACUAUCAUUCUAAUCAGAGACCAUUAUCAUCCUUACUGCACAUCCUUUCAGAUGUAUAUAUAUAAGCAUAUAUACCAAGUUUGUAAAAUGGAUUUGGAUUAUCCUAUUUGAAACUUGGAUUGGGUUAAAACUAGAAAAUUAU